ACCAGACUCCUACGGGAGGCAGCAGUGGGGGAUAUUGCACAAUGGGGGAAACCCUGAUGCAGCGACGCCGCGUGGGUGAAGAAGUAUUUCGGUAUGUAAAGCCCUAUCAGCAGGGAAGAAAGAAGACGGUACCUGACUAAGAAGCCCCGGCUAACUACGUGCCAGCAGCCGCGGUAAUACGUAGGGGGCGAGCGUUAUCCGGAUUCACUGGGUGUAAAGGGAGCGUAGACGGCCGUGCAAGCCAGGAGUGAAAGCCCGGGGCCCAACCCCGGGACUGCUCUUGGAACUGUGCGGCUGGAGUGCGGGAGGGGCAGGCGGAAUUCCUGGUGUAGCGGUGAAAUGCGUAGAUAUCAGGAGGAACACCGGCGGCGAAGGCGGCCUGCUGGACCGCGACUGACGUUGAGGCUCGAAAGCGUGGGGAGCGAACAGGAUUAGAUACCCGGGUA
rnacentral:rRNA from 1 species